rnacentral:rRNA from 1 species
GUACACGCUGUGACUAGCAUAUCAAUAAGCGGAGGAAAAGAAACUAACAAGGAUUCCCCUAGUAACGGCGAGUGAAGCGGGAAGAGCUCAAAUUUGAAAUCUUAAAGGGUUUCCCUUUACGAAUUGUAGUUUAAAGAAGUGUUUUCUGUUGAGGUUUUGGUAAAAGUUCUUUGGAAUAGGACAUCAUAGAGGGUGAGAAUCCCGUAUUUGACCUUUACUUUCAACUUUGUGAUACACUUUCAAAGAGUCGGAUUGUUAUGGGAAUGCAGUCCAAAAUGGGUGGUAAAUUUCAUCUAAAGCUAAAUAUUGGCGAGAGACCGAUAGCGAACAAGUACCGUGAGGGAAAGAUGAAAAGAACUUUGAAAAGAGAGCUAAACAGUACGUGAAAUUGUCAAAAGGGAAGCGUUUGACACCAGUGUUGUUUUUCUGAAAAUCAAUUAAAGAACUGUUUAUGCUAAGCUGUUUAGACUUUAUCAGCUGAUCUGUUUAGUUUUGAGCUUUUCUUUAAUGCACUUUUCAGUUAACAAGUCAACAUCAAUUUCUUUUGCUGUAAAAAAGCUUGAGGAAGGUGGCUUGAGAUUCGUCUUAAGUGUUUAUAACCUCUUGCCUAUGCAGUCGGAGAGAUUGAGGUCUGCAGCGUAGAUCCUUCGGGGCUAAAUGCAUUUGUGCUAAGUUAUAGCAUUUUAUAGACAACUUGUUGACUAUGAUUUGUCUUGUAGCUUACUCGCUUAUGUUAUUUUACCUACGCUUAGGAUGUUGAAGAUGUAGCACAUCAU